rnacentral:tRNA from 1 species
AGGGGAAUAGUUUCAAUGGUAGAAUAAUGGUUUCCAAAACCAAAGGUUAAGGGUUCAAAUCCCUUUUCUCCUG